GGCCAUGAGGCAAUCUGGCUGCAGCAUCUGUCACCCUGUUGACCUCCAGGGUUGAUUCAGGUGAUCUGUCUGGUGAGGCAGGUGUCCUCUUCCCCCCUCACUGCUCUAUGUGUGUCCCUCCCAAAGCUGCAUGCUCCGUUGAAGAGGAUGGCCAUCCCCAAUAGAGGACUGUUUUUUGGUCAAGGGCAUACAGUAGCUGCACUCCCCUGCUAGAACCUCCAAACAAGCUUUCGGUGAGCUGUAAAUUUAUGAUUCUCCACCUUUGUAGAUUCCCCAAAACCUCUAACUGGUAUUCAGAUCAGGCAUACGUAGGGUACAGUUCAGGAAACCAUCUUU
rfam:Chlorocebus sabaeus isolate 1994-021 chromosome 12, whole genome shotgun sequence.